GAGGAAGGAAAACUUGGAGCUGGUAAAAAUAUCAGAGACUGAGACAGAUGGAAUCCUGAGCGCCUGAGCGCUCUCUCCCGUAGCCCGGAAGCGCCUCCAGGGCGGGACUGACUGUUUUGUUGGUUGCAACAUGCCCUGCUCUUAGACCAACCUCAGUCAUUCAGUAGCUGUUCAAUCUAUAAGGACAAGAAAAAUUUUGCUACGGAGCUGCAGAGUGCCUGCAGUUCUCCAAGUUGCCACUAGAUGGGAGUCUUCCAAGCCUGAAGCCUCCAUGAACCAGGUCGCGGAGCCGGCUUUGCGUGGUGCGGCCACUGGCCUAGGACCUUCAGGAUGUCUUUCCUGGGGCUCAGCCUGCCAGUGCCAGCACAUGCCCCGGGCAGCAAGUGACCUUUCCGCCUGAGACACCCUUUUCUCCACUUCCCUCCAGCACCAGCCAGUUAAACAACCCUUUGUCCUCGGCCCCUUCCGGCUGGGCCCUGAGGCUCCUGGUUCUCUUCCAGGCCCGGAGAGAAGCUUGGGACUAAGACCCCGGCUCCCUCUGCAUCCCGACCAGGGUUCCAGGAUUGAGCCCAAGGCUGAGUCACAGGAAGCCCGAGUCACUCCCACCGCUCGGCUCAGCCCCUCCCAGGGCUGGAGAGCCAGAAAAUGAGGGCGGCUCAUAGCUUCAGUGCAGGGAUUGGUGUCCGUCUACAGGACCGUCAGUCAAAGGUGCCCACGGAGGCAUCGCCCACAUCCAGCCUUCCUUCCAGAAGUCCCUGAACUGGGGCCCGGUAUCUGCGCAGCUGGAGUGACUGCAGCUGUUCUUAGCUCUGGACUCAUGAGUGGUGCCCGUCCCGUACACGGCUAUCAGCCCCUCCGUGGAGCUAAGACGGAAGCAGAGGCGACCCGCUGCCCACGUGGUGCAAA